rnacentral:rRNA from 1 species
ACAGCAGUAGCCGCGGUAAUACGUAGGUGGCAAGCGUUGUCCGGAAUUAUUGGGCGUAAAGGGCUCGCAGGCGGUUUCUUAAGUCUGAUGUGAAAGCCCCCGGCUCAACCGGGGAGGGUCAUUGGAAACUGGGAAACUUGAGUACAGAAGAGGAGAGUGGAAUUCCACGUGUAGCGGUGAAAUGCGUAGAGAUGUGGAGGAACACCAGUGGCGAAGGCAACUCUCUGGUCUGUAACUGACGCUGAGGAGCGAAAGCGUGGGGAGCGAACAGGAUUAGAUACCCGUGUAGUCCCUGUCUCUUAUAC